AUCGAACGCUGGCGGCAUGCCUUACACAUGCAAGUCGAACGGUAACAGGUUAAGCUGACGAGUGGCGAACGGGUGAGUAAUAUAUCGGAACGUGCCCAGUCGUGGGGGAUAACGUAGCGAAAGCUACGCUAAUACCGCAUACGAUCUACGGAUGAAAGCGGGGGAUCGCAAGACCUCGCGCGCUUGGAGCGGCCGAUAUCAGAUUAGGUUGUUGGUGAGGUAAAAGCUCACCAAGCCUGCGAUCUGUAGCUGGUCUGAGAGGACGACCAGCCACACUGGAACUGAGACACGGUCCAGACUCCUACGGGAGGCAGCAGUGGGGAAUUUUGGACAAUGGACGCAAGUCUGAUCCAGCAAUGCCGCGUGCAGGACGAAGGCCUUCGGGUUGUAAACUGCUUUUGUACGGAACGAAACGGUGAGCUCUAAUACAGUUUGCUAAUGACGGUACCGUAAGAAUAAGCACCGGCUAACUACGUGCCAGCAGCCGCGGUAA
rnacentral:rRNA from 1 species